rfam:Pseudomonas monteilii strain TSDA-ARS-TSMARC-56711, complete genome.
GGCCCAGCCAUUGCUACGCCUAGGCAAACGCCGUCAACGACGACGGCUGUCCAUCCAGGCAACACCUCACGACAAAGGCGCCGU